GAUGAAGAACGUAGCGAAAUGCGAUAAGUAAUGUGAAUUGCAGAAUUCAGUGAAUCAUCGAAUCUUUGAACGCACAUUGCGCCCCUUGGUAUUCCAUGGGGCAUGCCUGUUCGAGCGUCAUUUGUACCUUCAAGCUUUGCUUGGUGUUGGGUGUUUGUCUCGCCUCUGCGUGUAGACUCGCCUUAAAACAAUUGGCAGCCGGCGUAUUGAUUUCGGAGCGCAGUACAUCUCGCGCUUUGCACUCAUAACGACGACGUCCAAAAGUACAUUUUUACACUCUUGACCUCGGAUCAGGUAGGGAUACCCGCUGAACUUAAGCAUAUCAAUAAGCGGAGGA
rnacentral:misc_RNA from 1 species